rnacentral:rRNA from 1 species
AGCGAACGCUGGCGGCAGGCUUAACACAUGCAAGUCGAACGGGCAUAGCAAUAUGUCAGUGGCAGACGGGUGAGUAACGCGUGGGAACAUACCUCUUGGUUCGGAACAACACAGGGAAACUUGUGCUAAUACCGGAUAAGCCCUUACGGGGAAAGAUUUAUCGCCGAGAGAUUGGCCCGCGUCUGAUUAGCUAGUUGGUAGGGUAAUGGCCCACCAAGGCGACGAUCAGAGCUGGUCUGAGAGGAUGAUCAGCCACAUUGGGACUGAGACACGGCCCAAACUCCUACGGGAGGCAGCAGUGGGGAAUAUUGGACAAUGGGCGCAAGCCUGAUCCAGCCAUGCCGCGUGAGUGAUGAAGGCCCUAGGGUUGUAAAGCUCUUUUGUACGGGAAGAUAAUGACGGUACCGUAAGAAUAAGCCCCGGCUAACUUCGUGCCAGCCGCCGCCGUAAU